AUUGAACGCUGGCGGCAGGCCUAACACAUGCAAGUCGAGCGGGUGAAGGGAGCUUGCUCCUGGAUUCAGCGGCGGACGGGUGAGUAAUGCCUAGGAAUCUGCCUGGUAGUGGGGGAUAACGUCCGGAAACGGGCGCUAAUACCGCAUACGUCCUGAGGGAGAAAGUGGGGGAUCUUCGGACCUCACGCUAUCAGAUGAGCCUAGGUCGGAUUAGCUAGUUGGUGGGGUAAAGGCCUACCAAGGCGACGAUCCGUAACUGGUCUGAGAGGAUGAUCAGUCACACUGGAACUGAGACACGGUCCAGACACCUACGGGAGGCAGCAGUGGGGAAUAUUGGACAAUGGGCGAAAGCCUGAUCCAGCCAUGCCGCGUGUGUGAAGAAGGUCUUCGGAUUGUAAAGCACUUUAAGUUGGGAGGAAGGGCAGUAAGUUAAUACCUUGCUGUUUUGACGUUACCAACAGAAUAAGCACCGGCUAACUUCGUG
rnacentral:rRNA from 1 species